CGGGAUAUAGCGCAGUUUGGUAGCGUGCCAUCUUGGGGUGAUGGAGGCCGCAGGUUCGAAUCCUGCUAUUCCGA
rnacentral:tRNA from 2 species